rnacentral:tRNA from 1 species
GGGUAUAUAGCUCAGUGGUACAGCACAUGCUUAGCAAUUGUGAGGUCCUGGAUUCAAUCCCCAGUAUUUCCA